rnacentral:rRNA from 1 species
UACGUAGGGUGCGAGCGUUGUCCGGAAUUAUUGGGCGUAAAGAGCUCGUAGGCGGUCUGUCGCGUCGAUCGUGAAAACUUGGGGCUUAACCCUGAGCUUGCGGUCGAUACGGGCAUGACUGGAGUUCGGCAGGGGAGACUGGAAUUCCUGGUGUAGCGGUGAAAUGCGCAGAUAUCAGGAGGAACACCGGCGGCGAAGGCGGGUCUCUGGGCCGAUACUGACGCUGAGGAGCGAAAGCGUGGGGAGCGAACAGG